rnacentral:rRNA from 1 species
UACGUAGGGUGCGAGCGUUGUUCGGAAUCAUUGGGCGUAAAGCGCUUGUAGGCGGCCUGUCAAGUCGCGUGUGAAAUCCCUUGGCUUAACCAAGGAAGUGCGCGCGAAACUGGCGGGCUUGAGUGCCGGAGAGGGUCGCGGAAUUCCCGGUGUAGAGGUGAAAUUCGUAGAUAUCGGGAGGAACACCAAUGGCGAAGGCAGCGUCCUGGGAAGUGACUGACGCUCAUGUGCGAAAGCUAGGGGAGCGAACGGG